rnacentral:rRNA from 1 species
CUUAGAGUUUGAUCCUGGCUCAGGAUGAACGCUGGCGGUAUGCUUAACACAUGCAAGUCGAACGGUGUCUUCGGACAUAGUGGCGGACGGGUGAGUAACGCGUGAGAAUCUAGCUUCAGGUCUGGGACAACCACUGGAAACGGUGGCUAAUACCGGAUGUGCCGGAAGGUGAAAGGCUUGCUGCCUGAAGAUGAGCUCGCGUCCGAUUAGCUAGUAGGUGGGGUAAGAGCCUACCUAGGCGACGAUCGGUAGCUGGUCUGAGAGGAUGACCAGCCACACUGGGACUGAGACACGGCCCAGACUCCUACGGGAGGCAGCAGUGGGGAAUUUUCCGCAAUGGGCGAAAGCCUGACGGAGCAAUACCGCGUGAGGGAGGAAGGCUCUUGGGUUGUAAACCUCUUUUCUCAGGGAAGAACACAAUGACGGUACCUGAGGAAUCAGCAUCGGCUAAUUCCGUGCCAGCAGCCGCGGUAAUACGGAGGAUGCAAGCGUUAUCCGGAAUGAUUGGGCGUAAAGCGUCCGCAGGUGGCUGUGUAAGUCUGCUGUCAAAGAGCAAAGCUCAACUUUGUAAAGGCAGUGGAAACUACACGGCUAGAGUGCGUUCGGGGCAGAGGGAAUUCCUGGUGUAGCGGUGAAAUGCGUAGAGAUCAGGAAGAACACCGGUGGCGAAGGCGCUCUGCUAGGCCGCAACUGACACUGAGGGACGAAAGCUAGGGGAGCGAAUGGGAUUAGAUACCCCAGUAGUCCUAGCUGUAAACGAUG